AAAUUGAAGAGUUUGAUCAUGGCUCAGAUUGAACGCUGGCGGCAGGCCUAACACAUGCAAGUCGAACGGUAACAGGAAGCAGCUUGCUGCUUUGCUGACGAGUGGCGGACGGGUGAGUAAUGUCUGGGGAACUGCCUGAUGGAGGGGGAUAACUACUGGAAACGGUGGCUAAUACCGCAUAACGU
rnacentral:rRNA from 3 species